AAAAUACGAAACAUUUAACAUAUUAAUACGAUAAUAACGACAUUCGCAUAGAUACCGAUAUGAGUUGUUCAUGUUUAUAUAUUGUGUAGACAAUUUAAAGUUUAUUGUCUGUGUAUAGCGAACAAUGGAGAGAUGUAGAUGCAGACAGUCAGAGGCAGACCUGUUGCUUUAGGGACUUCAAGUGAAACGAAAUGCUUUGGCUGACUGGGUGCUUGACUACCUUGCUAGCUGGUUGGCUGUUUAGCUGACUGGCUGGCUGGCUGGCUGGCUGGCUGCCUGCCUGCCUGCAUGCCUGCAUGCCUGCAUGCCUGUCUCUUCAGCUUACUGCAAAACGUGUGGAUGUGAAAUUGAAUCGAGACAACAACAGCAUCAGCAGCAGCAGCAGCAGCAGCACUAGUAAUAUGUGUAUACAGUAAGCGCACUACGGUACAUUUUGCCUGAGUUCCUUUCAGAUACAUUUGAGACGCCUUGCAAAAGCGUUCCGCUGUUGCCAUUGCUAUGGAUGCGACACAGACCUCUUUCAUAUCUUACACACCUAAAACGCAGACCAUAAUCAACUCUUACAGCCGUCAAAGUCUGACUUAGUAAAACUCCAUCAUCGUCAUCAUUAUCAAUUGCAGCAGCGACAACAGCAGCAUUAGCACAUACGUUACAAUCACAAUAACCGCGUUAAUCUUUAGCAAUGAAUGAUAUAAUUGCGCGCCGAUUGUGUGGGAAAGCGCAUGCAGAUAGAAAAGUACUAUAGGAUCGAUUUUAAAGAUAGCUCGAUGCAAUAAUCGUCUUAAAGAAAUGAAUCGGUUUUACUUAUAAAUGACAGCUAAAUCGACCACAAGAAUAAACCAGACUUCCUAAACAAUGAACGAACGAACGAACGAACGAACGAACGAACGAACGAACGAAAUAACAAAUAUUUAAACACAUACGACAAGUAACAGCAAAAACU